rnacentral:rRNA from 1 species
AAUGGGCGCAAGCCUGAUGCAGCGACGCCGCGUGAGGGAUGACGGCCUUCGGGUUGUAAACCUCUUUCGCCAGGGACGAAGCGUAAGUGACGGUACCUGGAGAAGAAGCACCGGCCAACUACGUGCCAGCAGCCGCGGUAAUACGUAGGGUGCAAGCGUUGUCCGGAAUUACUGGGCGUAAAGAGCUCGUAGGCGGUUUGUCGCGUCGUCUGUGAAAUUCUGCAGCUUAACUGUAGGCGUGCAGGCGAUACGGGCAGACUUGAGUACUACAGGGGAGACUGGAAUUCCUGGUGUAGCGGUGAAAUGCGCAGAUAUCAGGAGGAACACCGGUGGCGAAGGCGGGUCUCUGGGUAGUUACUGACGCUGAGGAGCGAAAGCGUGGGGAGCGAA